rnacentral:rRNA from 1 species
UUGAACGCUGGCGGCAGGCCUAACACAUGCAAGUCGAGCGGAUGAAGGGAGCUUGCUCCUGGAUUCAGCGGCGGACGGGUGAGUAAUGCCUAGGAAUCUGCCUGGUAGUGGUGGAUAACAUCCGGAAACGGGCGCUAAUACCGCAUACGUCCUGAGGGAGAAAGUGGGGGAUCUUCGGACCUCACGCUAUCAGAUGAACCUAGGUCGGAUUAGCUAGUUGGUGGGGUAAAGGCCUACCAAGGCGACGAUCCGUAACUGGUCUGAGAGGAUGAUCAGUCACACUGGAACUGAGACGCGGUCCAGACUCCUACGGGAGGCAGCAGUGGGGAAUAUUGGACAAUGGGCGAAAGCCUGAUCCAGCCAUGCCGCGUGUGUGAAGAAGGUCUUCGGAUUGUAAAGCACUUUAAGUUGGGAGGAAGGGCAGUAAGUUAAUACCUUGCUGUUUUGACGUUACCAACAGAAUAAGCACCGGCUAACUUCGUG